CGGUUAAGUUAGAAAGGGCGCACGGUGGAUGCCUUGGCACUAGGAGCCGAUGAAGGACGGGACGAACACCGAUAUGCUUCGGGGAGCUGUAAGCAAGCUUUGAUCCGGAGAUUUCCGAAUGGGGAAACCCACCACUCGUAAUGGAGUGGUAUCCAUAUCUGAAUACAUAGGAUAUGAGAAGGCAGACCCGGGAACUGAAACAUCUAAGUACCCGGAGGAAGAGAAAGCAAAUGCGAUUCCCUGAGUAGCGGCGAGCGAAACGGGACCAGCCCAAACCAAGAGGCUUGCCUCUUGGGGUUGUAGGACACUCUGUACGGAGUUACAAAGGAACGAGGUAGAUGAAGAGGUCUGGAAAGGCCCGCCAUAGGAGGUAACAGCCCUGUAGUCAAAACUUCGUUCUCUCCUGAGUGGAUCCUGAGUACGGCGGAACACGUGAAAUUCCGUCGGAAUCCGGGAGGACCAUCUCCCAAGGCUAAAUACUCCCUAGUGACCGAUAGUGAACCAGUACCGUGAGGGAAAGGUGAAAAGCACCCCGGAAGGGGAGUGAAAGAGAUCCUGAAACCGUGUGCCUACAAGUAGUCAGAGCCCGUUAACGGGUGAUGGCGUGCCUUUUGUAGAAUGAACCGGCGAGUUACGAUCCCGUGCAAGGUUAAGCAGAAGAUGCGGAGCCGCAGCGAAAGCGAGUCUGAAUAGGGCGAAUUGAGUACGUGGUCGUAGACCCGAAACCAGGUGAUCUACCCAUGUCCAGGGUGAAGUUCAGGUAACACUGAAUGGAGGCCCGAACCCACGCACGUUGAAAAGUGCGGGGAUGAGGUGUGGGUAGGGGUGAAAUGCCAAUCGAACCUGGAGAUAGCUGGUUCUCUCCGAAAUAGCUUUAGGGCUAGCCUCAAGGUAAGAGUCUCGGAGGUAGAGCACUGAUUGGACUAGGGGCCCCUACCGGGUUACCGAAUUCAGUCAAACUCCGAAUGCCGAUGACUUAUCCUUGGGAGUCAGACUGCGAGUGAUAAGAUCCGUAGUCGAAAGGGAAACAGCCCAGACCGCCAGCUAAGGUCCCAAAGUAUACGUUAAGUGGAAAAGGAUGUGGAGUUGCUUAGACAACCAGGAUGUUGGCUUAGAAGCAGCCACCAUUUAAAGAGUGCGUAAUAGCUCACUGGUCGAGUGACUCUGCGCCGAAAAUGUACCGGGCUAAACGUAUCACCGAAGCUGCGGACUGUUCUUCGAACAGUGGUAGGAGAGCGUUCUAAGGGCUGUGAAGCAAGACCGGAAGGACUUGUGGAGCGCUUAGAAGUGAGAAUGCCGGUAUGAGUAGCGAAAGAGGGUGAGAAUCCCCUCCACCGAAUGCCUAAGGUUUCCUGAGGAAGGCUCGUCCGCUCAGGGUUAGUCGGGACCUAAGCCGAGGCCGAAAGGCGUAGGCGAUGGAUAACAGGUUGAUAUUCCUGUACCACCUCCUCACCAUUUGAGCAAUGGGGGGACGCAGGAGGAUAGGGUAAGCGCGGUAUUGGAUAUCCGCGUCCAAGCAGUUAGGCUGGGAAAUAGGCAAAUCCGUUUCCCGUGAAGGCUGAGCUGUGAUGGCGAGCGAAUUAUAGUAGCGAAGUUCCUGAUUCCACACUGCCAAGAAAAGCCUCUAGCGAGGUGAGAGGUGCCCGUACCGCAAACCGACACAGGUAGGCGAGGAGAGAAUCCUAAGGUGAUCGAGAGAACUCUCGUUAAGGAACUCGGCAAAAUGACCCCGUAACUUCGGGAGAAGGGUGCUCUGUUAGGGUGCAAGCCCGAGAGAGCCGCAGUGAAUAGGCCCAGGCGACUGUUUAGCAAAAACACAGGUCUCUGCGAAGCCGUAAGGCGAAGUAUAGGGGCUGACGCCUGCCCGGUGCUGGAAGGUUAAGAGGAGCGCUUAGCGUAAGCGAAGGUGCGAAUUGAAGCCCCAGUAAACGGCGGCCGUAACUAUAACGGUCCUAAGGUAGCGAAAUUCCUUGUCGGGUAAGUUCCGACCCGCACGAAAGGCGCAACGAUCUGGGCACUGUCUCAACGAGAGACUCGGUGAAAUUAUAGUACCUGUGAAGAUGCAGGUUACCCGCGACAGGACGGAAAGACCCCGUGGAGCUUUACUGCAGCCUGAUAUUGAAUGUUGGUACAGCUUGUACAGGAUAGGUAGGAGCCUUGGAAACCGGAGCGCCAGCUUCGGUGGAGGCAUCGGUGGGAUACUACCCUGGCUGUAUUGACCUUCUAACCCGCCGCCCUUAUCGGGCGGGGAGACAGUGUCAGGUGGGCAGUUUGACUGGGGCGGUCGCCUCCUAAAAGGUAACGGAGGCGCCCAAAGGUUCCCUCAGAAUGGUUGGAAAUCAUUCGCAGAGUGUAAAGGCACAAGGGAGCUUGACUGCGAGACCUACAAGUCGAGCAGGGACGAAAGUCGGGCUUAGUGAUCCGGUGGUUCCGCAUGGAAGGGCCAUCGCUCAACGGAUAAAAGCUACCCCGGGGAUAACAGGCUUAUCUCCCCCAAGAGUCCACAUCGACGGGGAGGUUUGGCACCUCGAUGUCGGCUCAUCGCAUCCUGGGGCUGUAGUCGGUCCCAAGGGUUGGGCUGUUCGCCCAUUAAAGCGGUACGCGAGCUGGGUUCAGAACGUCGUGAGACAGUUCGGUCCCUAUCCGUCGCGGGCGCAGGAAAUUUGAGAGGAGCUGUCCUUAGUACGAGAGGACCGGGAUGGACGCACCGCUGGUGUACCAGUUGUUCUGCCAAGGGCAUCGCUGGGUAGCUAUGUGCGGACGGGAUAAGUGCUGAAAGCAUCUAAGCAUGAAGCCCCCCUCAAGAUGAGAUUUCCCAUUCCGCAAGGAAGUAAGAUCCCUGAAAGAUGAUCAGGUUGAUAGGUCUGAGGUGGAAGUGUGGCGACACAUGGAGCUGACAGAUACUAAUCGAUCGAGGACUUAACCAAUUU
rnacentral:rRNA from 1 species